AUGAACGCUGGCGGCGUGCUUAACACAUGCCAGUCGAACGAGAAGUGAAGACGGAAACCUUCGGGCGGAAGGCUUUAUUUCGAGUGGCGGACGGGUGAGUAACGCGUGGGUAACCUGCCUCAUACAGGGGGAUAACAGUUGGAAACGACUGUUAAUACCGCAUAAGACCACAGCACCGCAUGGUGCGGGGGUAAAAACUCCGGUGGUAUGAGAUGGACCCGCGUUCGAUUAGCCAGUUGGCGGGGUAACGGCCCACCAAAGCGACGAUCGAUAGCCGAUCUGAGAGGAUGACCGGCCACAUUGGGACUGAGACACGGCCCAAACUCCUACGGGAGGCAGCAGUGGGGAAUAUUGCACAAUGGGGGAAACCCUGAUGCAGCGACGCCGCGUGAGUGAAGAAGUAUUUCGGUAUGUAAAGCUCUAUCAGCAGGGAAGAAAAUGACGGUACCUGAGUAAGAAACCCCGGCUAACUACGU
rnacentral:rRNA from 1 species